GAUCAUGGCUCAGGAUGAACGCUGGCGGCGUGCCUAACACAUGCAAGUCGAGCGAUCUCUUCGGAGAGAGCGGCGGACGGGUGAGUAACGCGUGGGUAACCUGCCCUGUACACACGGAUAACAUACCGAAAGGUAUGCUAAUACGGGAUAAUAUAUAAGAGUCGCAUGACUUUUAUAUCAAAGAAUUUUCGUUACGAGAUGGACCCGGCGUCUGAUUAGCUUGUUUGGCGGGGUAACGGGGCCC
rnacentral:rRNA from 1 species